AAUACAGUAUAAAUAGGGGUAACUCCAGCCAAGAUGGCUAAGGAUACAAACUUGUAAUCACACAAAGUCACGAGUUUGAAUCUCAACCCUCUUGGUUU